rnacentral:rRNA from 1 species
UGGGGAAUAUUGCACAAUGGAGGGAACUCUGAUGCAGCGACGCCGCGUGAACGAAGAAGGCUUUCGAGUCGUAAAGUUCUUUUAUAUGGGAAGAUAAUGACGGUACCAUAAGAAAAAGCCCCGGCUAACUACGUGCCAGCAGCCGCGGUAAUACGUAGGGGGCUAGCGUUGUCCGGAAUCACUGGGCGUAAAGGGUUCGCAGGCGGAAAUGCAAGUCAGGUGUAAAAGGCAGUAGCUUAACUACUGUAAGCAUUUGAAACUGCAUAUCUUGAGAAGAGUAGAGGUAAGUGGAAUUUUUAGUGUAGCGGUGAAAUGCGUAGAUAUUAAAAAGAAUACCGGUGGCGAAGGCGACUUAAUGGGCUCAUUCUGACGCUGAGGAAAGAAAGCGUGGGUAGCAAACAGG